rnacentral:lncRNA from 10 species
GUCCAGUUCACACCACCUGAAAAACUGAGGGCCUCAGAGAAACUGAGGCCUCAGAGAAACAGAGAAACUGAGGGCCUCAGAGAACUCCUGCAGGCCCUCCAGCUGGCCACUGCCAGCCCUGCCCAGGACCCCAUAUCUCACCAGUUACUUGUGUCCACCCUGUCUCCUUGCUCCAUCCUACCCCAGUUUAGAGAGUGAGAAUGCUGGCUGGGACCCCAAAGACCUAUCUGCAACUCCCCAACUCCAAGAAAGGGGGGGCUCCAACAAGGCAGGGCUGUAAUGAGAUGGAAGAUUUGGGCUAAUCCGGAGCCAAAUGAGGGCCUAAUUCCUGCUGUAAAAAUCUGUCAGCUGCUAGUUAACAGUUCCUCUGGCCCUGGGCUUGAGGGUGGGGGUGGGGGGUGGCCUCUGUUUGCAGGAGCAGUUGGGCUUGUACCUAGGGUGUUGUUUUUCUCCCUUUUCCUUGUUUUUACGUUUUUGGAAUGUGAAUAUAAACUUUAUGGAGGGGCCUGGUCUCUGUUCACACCGGGUGCUAAUAACCCACAGCUGAAAGCAGAGGCUCAGAGGAAACCCGGGAGGUGCAGCGCGCAGAAGGCUACAGGAACCGGAGGGGCGGGCACGCGGCUGGAGGAGGGGGCCGGGACGAUAUUUAAUAUUUAAUUUGCUGGGUUUUUUUUUUUUUUAAUGUGGAAACUUUUAGACACAAACUGGCCCCUGUGUUUAAGUCAUUAAAACAUCUUUAAGCAGCCUCCUAUUGGGCCAGGGCACCUGACCUCAAGACUUUUCCCUGUCUCAUCAAUGUCUCCCCCUCCAAAGCAUGAGACACCACUUCACUUGGAGCUCAUCUUCAAAACUUUGUCACCCAUCCCCCCCAAUUUGUUUGCUAGUAAAAAGAUUGGGGGGGUGGGCUGUCUCUUUUCCUCUCCAUCGCCUCCUCCCAAUCAUCGCCAGUGUUCUCCUUCCCUUCUCUCUCCUGCCCGCUCCCUCUCCCUUUCUCUCCCUGAGAGCUGAUGCAGUUAAUUGGAGCGUCUUGAAAGUGCACAUUAACACACAGAGAGCCAAGGAGACGUCUUGGCAGCGAAAUAUCAUUAUCACUUCUUGAGCUCCAGCCAAAAUCCCCUCGCGGUCAAAACACAAUUCUUUAAACUAAACAAUUAAAGAUUUGUGCAAGUGUGGCUGCCAUGAGGUAUCAGG